UAUAAUUAGCUUUCUGUGGCAUGGUUUUUUGUUUUUGUUUUUUUCAAAAAAGUAUUCACUUGUUUUUUUUUCUAUUUUUUUGAUUGCUUGCUUUUUUACCUGUGGAAAAUGAAAUGGCGAAUCUAAGUCUUGACAAAGGCUAAGAGGAGGCCUGGUUAUUCAAGGAAGAAAUCGGUCUGCAGAAGUCAACAUUUGAGUAUUGUACUGUCGAGUGCUUUUUAACGACGAGCGUAGUCC
rnacentral:lncRNA from 1 species